AUAUGUGUAUACAAGAAGGAGGAGGGAAUAUUCUGAAUUUAGAAAGGAGAACGAAUUGGAUGAGGCGGGCAUUAGGUCAUAAUUAUUUAUAGUGGCGCACGUGGCUAUAGCAGCAGCAGCUCUCGGUUAGUAUAGAAGAAACUACCAGGCUGGGACGUUUCCCUAUACAGUCGUUUGAGGAGGAUCAGCUGAGAUUGAACAGUCCUCCUUAAUCCGGUGGUUAUACAACAGACUGAUCUGCUGCUGCCGUGAUAUUAGAAUAUAAAUUGUGCGCGCAGCAGCUUCAGAUUCAUCCGCAUUUAUAUCGUGAUUGGAUUCUGAAAUUUUGAUUCCGAGAUUCGUUAAAUGGCGACAAGAUGGCCAGGGAAUUGGUGGCUCUGCUUAUCGUUUUUGGUUACGUUGAUGACAUCCGCAUGUUCCUCCGCAACUUCCGCUAUUCGUGAUUUACAACCAGCCAGCGAGGAGCCAGUUCCCUUGAUCACUUCGGCUGCUCACCUACUCGCCAUGCUCCUUCCGAUCCCAUUUUUCGCCGGAAUUUUAGCGUUCGGCUUGACGGUUCCCGCUCUCUCUGCAGCUGGCGUCUUUCCAUUCGGUGGACGCAAGAGACGCGACUUGACGACAACCGCGGCGAGCAUAAACAGCAUAAACAGCAGCGACUUUGAUUUCGAUCGUUAUUUGACAUCGGAGCAACGCAGAUAUCUGGUUUCUUUGGCCGCUUUAGUGGAGCAUGCUCUUGAAAGUUACAUCUUUGCGUCCAAGAAAGAAGACCCGCCUCGUCGUCCUGCAGCAACCUCGAAAUAUUCGUCUUGACCAAAAAACUGGAAGGAGACGAUACAACCGGUUUGACGUAACACAACGCAACUCCCAAUUGGAAAUGGGAUGCUCUAUAAAAGAAUGUUGGGUAUAUCGUCGUGUCCUAUAUUUUUUAUACCCGUCCUGUUUGAUAGUAGACAUUCGGAACGUCCUACAUCUACUUUGGAGUUCACGAUGAACUCGUGACGAUGCGUUUCGGCGUGAAUAUUUGAUGUCCUCCUGAUAUUUGUACUCCUGUAAUAUGUAUAAACCGAAACCCACCUCUGCCCCAGGCGACGACCUGUCCUAAAUUUACUGCUUCUUAUUUCCUCGACUAUGCCCGAGCGCGGGCACCGUGUGCCGAAAAUGGCUCUUGUUUCUGCAUUCGAAAUCAAAUGAAUAUACAGUCAACUAUAUCUCGAA